rnacentral:rRNA from 1 species
AGAGUUGAUCAUGCUCAGGAUGAACGCUAGCGGCAGGCUUAACACAUGCAAGUCGAGGGGCAGCGGGAUGUAGCAAUACAUUGCCGGCGACCGGCGGAUGGGUGCGUAACGCGUAUGCAACCUACCUUAUACAGGGGAAUAACCUUUCGAAAGGGAGACUAACACCCCAUAGUAUUGAUUUAAGGCAUCUUAGAUUAAUUAAAUAUUUAUAGGUAUAAGAUGGGCAUGCGUAUGAUUAGCUAGUUGGUAAGGUAACGGCUUACCAAGGCGACGAUCAUUAGGGGUUCUGAGAGGAAGGUCCCCCACACUGGUACUGAGACACGGACCAGACUCCUACGGGAGGCAGCAGUGAGGAAUAUUGGUCAAUGGGCGCAAGCCUGAACCAGCCAUGCCGCGUGCAAGGAAGACGGCCUUAUGGGUUGUAAACUGCUUUUACAUAAGACUAACCGUAUAUUUGCGAAUAUACCUGAAUGUAUUAUGAGAAUAAGGAUCGGCUAACUCCGUGCCAGCCGCCGC